CAGAGAAACCUCCAGGGCUCAGGGAGUCAAAGCCUCAGGCUCCAGGGUGGAGGCGGGCACUUGAGUGAGAGGAUGAGCUGCUGGUGAUGCUCCAGCUCUGACAGGCUCACCCCUUUGGGUCCCUGUCUAGAGCCCGUGCUUAGGUAAAGCUGGCCUUCCCUUUGUUCUCGGCCCGUGUCCCCAGGUGAGGCGGUCAGGCCUUCUGGACCACACACAGCGGCUCCCUGGCCCGGAGCACCUCACUGCACUGGGCUGGGCUCUGGGUCAGGUCGUGGGCCGGGUCACCUCUGCCCUGCUUCCAUUCGCAUUUCUUCAUCACCCUGUAACGCAUUUAACGGCAAUCACUGAGCAAGUCAGGCGUGCCUAUGAUGGGAUUUUCUCUCAUGGAGGAUAGCAGCUUCUUUAGGCCGCCCCCUGGGCCUCUUGAUCCUGCAGCAGACUACAGUGUGAUGAAGCAAGCCCUGUAGAAUCUAACAGCUGCUGUUUUUCCUUGUUCUUGGUUCCAGUGCUUUGAAGAGAGCAGAUGCCAUCUCAUCAAUUGGCACAUCAGGGCUGACAGACAUGAAGAAGCUGGCCAAGUGGGUGGCGAGUCCAAGCUGGACCCCAACGACCCCAACAACGCCCCUCUGAUGCAGCUAAUCUCGGUUGCCACCAGUGGAGAAUCUUAUGUCCCUGAUUUCUUUCGACUGGAACAGCUGCAACAAGAAUUUAACUUUGUCUCAGAUGAGGAAUUAAAUAGAUCCAAAGCGAUUCCGGCUUCUCCGUCUUAGAAGCCAAGAGGUGCCAGAAUUCGAAAUUAUAAGCAAAUUCCGGCAUAUGACCGAGAAAUUAUGGAAAGGGUAUUCCAGCAUAUAUCCAGUAACCAGGAUUCUGAAUCAGUUGGUUGAACUGCCUACAAUUAAAAGAAGAGGAAGACUGAAAAGAUCGUGCAGGUUAAUAUGGCUAACUAGUGCUGCCUUCAUCAGGAGUUCAGUUCCAUUUUCAUGUACUAAGUACCUGCUAAGUACCCUGUCUGAGGCAUACUGCAAGGCACUCAGGGAAACCUAUAGAUGGGUAGGAUCUCACCAUUGGGCUCAGCCAAGCAGGAAGGCAGCAGGCCGGCCCUCCACCAGAAGCAAGGGCAAGAGGAGGAACAAAGGCUCAGCGGAGGGUGGAUCGCAGAGGCAGGUGUGGAGGCUGAGGAGCUCUGAGGAGUUACAGGGCAUGGGCUGUGUGUGAGAGACAGGCAGGUGUGUAUUUGAUGAGGUAAAUGGGGAACCACUAGAGAUGAAUACCAUUGCAAUUUUUCAUGCAGAAACUAUUCUUGGUGAGUAGUUUUGUUAGGCGGUUCCUCCUACCAACCAGUGAUUUGCAUUUGUGAUCCUAAGGGGUAAAAACCCCAUUUUGAACAAUUUCAGACACAGUGGAAGUUUACUGGUAUUUAAUUCCAAAAUAGCAUUGAACACCUAAAGACGUGGGACUGCAGGAGCCCCUGUGCCUCACACCCCAGGAUGCCUUCCCUCCCGCUGCUGGG
rnacentral:lncRNA from 1 species